rnacentral:rRNA from 1 species
UGGGGAAUAUUGGACAAUGGGCGAAAGCCUGAUCCAGCCAUGCCGCGUGUGUGAAGAAGGUCUUCGGAUUGUAAAGCACUUUAAGUUGGGAGGAAGGGCAGUAAGCGAAUACCUUGCUGUUUUGACGUUACCGACAGAAUAAGCACCGGCUAACUCUGUGCCAGCAGCCGCGGUAAUACAGAGGGUGCAAGCGCUAAUCGGAAUUACUGGGCGUAAAGCGCGCGUAGGUGGUUCGUUAAGUUGAAUGUGAAAGCCCCGGGCUCAACCUGGGAACUGCAUCCAAAACUGGCGAGCUAGAGUAGGGCAGAGGGUGGUGGAAUUUCCUGUGUAGCGGUGAAAUGCGUAGAUAUAGGAAGGAACACCAGUGGCGAAGGCGACCACCUGGGCUCAUACUGACACUGAGGUGCGAAAGCGUGGGGAGCAAACAGG